rnacentral:rRNA from 1 species
AGGGCGCAAGGGGGAUGCCUUGGCAUUGGUAGCCGAUGAAGGACGUAGCGAUCUACGAUAAGCCACGGGAAGUCGAAAGCAGGCAAUGAUCCGUGGAUUUCCGAAUGGGGAAACCCGGCAGAGCAAUACUCUGUCAACUCCUUGUGAAUAAAAUAGCAUUGAGUAGGGAACCUCCUGAACUGAAACAUCUAAGUAGGGAGAGGAAAAGAAAUCAACCGAGAUUCCGCUAGUAGUGGCGAGCGAACGCGGAAGAGGCCAAACCGGAGGUAGCAAUAUUUCCGGGGUUAGGACUGCAAUAUGUAACUUUAAUCUUUAACUGAAUGCUUUGGGAAGAGCAGCGAUACAGGGUGAUAGCCCCGUAAGUGAAAAGGAUUGAAUGCUAGCAGUAUCCAGAGUACCAGCGGACACGUGAAACCCGCUGGGAAGAUGGGGGGACCAUCCUCCAAGCCUAAAUACUACUCAGUGACCGAUAGUGGAGCAGUACCGUGAGGGAAAGGUGAAAAGUACCCCGGGAGGGGAGUGAAAAAGAACCUGAAACCUUGUGCCUACAAGCACCGAGAGCACGUCAAAGUGUGAUCGGGUACUUUUUGUAGAACGGUCCGGCGAGUUAAUAUUUGCAGCGAGGUUAAGGAACUGGAGUUCCGGAGCCGCAGCGAGAGCGAGUCUGAAAAGGGCGUAUGAAGUUGCAGGUAUUAGACCCGAAACCGGGUGACCUAUCCAUGAGCAGGCUGAAGCGGUGGUAAGACACCGUGGAGGGCCGCACCCACGUCUGUUGAAAAAGCCGGGGAUGACUUGUGGAUAGCGGAGAAAUUCCAAUCGAACUCGGAGAUAGCUGGUUCUCCCCGAAAUAGCUUUAGGGCUAGCCUCAUAUUAGAUACCCGGAGGUAAAGCACUGAAUGGCCUAGCGCCCGAGAGGGUAGCGAAGCCUAUCAAACUAAGAAUGCCGGAGUAUUGAUGUAUGGGAGUCAGACAGUGUGAGAUAAAUCUCAUUGUCAAAAGGGAAACAGCCCAGAUCUACAGCUAAGGUCCCAAAUUGUAUCUAAGUGGAAAACGAUGUGGAAAUACGCAGACAACCAGGAUGUUGGCUCAGAAGCAGCCACUCAUUUAAAGAGUGCGUAAUAGCUCACUGGUCGAGUGAUUUUGCGCCGAAAAUUUAACGGGGCUAAACUGUACACCGAAGCUUGGGAAUAUACCAUAUGGUAUGUUGGUAGGAGAGCGUCGUAUGCGGGGUGAAGUCGUAGCGAAAGCGGCGGUGGACUGCAUAGGAGUGAGAAUGCCGGAAUGAGUAGCGAGAAUUAUGUGAGAAUCAUAAUGGCCGAAAGACUAAGGUUUUAGAAGGAAGGUUCGUCCGCUUCUAGUUAGCCGGGAGCUAAGGCGAGGCCGAAAGGCGUAGUCGAUGCACAUACGGUUGAGAUUCCGUAGCCACCUUAAAUUUAAACUAAGGGACACAUUGAAAGGGAAUAACCCAGGCGUUGGUUGACCUGGGCGUAAGGGAACGAAAAUAAGUAGUGAAGUAUUCUUGGACAGUGGCGAGAAAAGCUUAGUGUAUAUUAUUAGGGUGCCCGUACUGCAAACCGACACAGGUAGUCAGGAAGAGAAUUCUAAGGCCAUCGGGAGAAGCGUUGUUAAGGAACUCGGCAAAUUGACCCCGUAACUUCGGAAUAAGGGGUGCUCACGAGAGUGAGCCGCAGUGAAUAGGUCCAGGCAACUGUUUAUCAAAAACACAGCUCUCUGCUAAAUCGUAAGAUGACGUAUAGGGGGUGACACCUGCCCGGUGCUGGAAGGUUAAGAGGAGGAGUGCAAGCCCCGAAUCGAAGCCCCAGUAAACGGCGGCCGUAACUAUAACGGUCCUAAGGUAGCGAAAUUCCUUGUCGGGUAAGUUCCGACCCGCACGAAUGGUGUAAUGAUCUGGACACUGUCUCAACAACGCACCCGGCGAAAUUGUAGUACCGGUGAAGAUGCCGGUUACCCGCGGCAAGACGGAAAGACCCCAUGGAGCUUUACUGUAACUUAAUAUUGGGUCUCGGUACUUUAUGUACAGGAUAGGCGGGAGACUUGGAAACUAGCACGCCAGUGUUAGCGGAGUCAUCCUUGGGAUACCGCUCUUAAGGUAUUGAGAUUCUAACCUGCAGCCUUGAAUCAGGUUGGGGGACAUUGUUAGGUGGGCAGUUUGACUGGGGCGGUCGCCUCCAAAAGAGUAACGGAGGCGUUCAAAGGUUGGCUCAGCAUGGACGGAAACCAUGCUUUAGAGUAUAAACGCAUAAGCCAGCCUAACUGCGAGACUGACGGGUCGAGCAGUAACGAAAGUUGGAGUUAGUGAUCCGGCGGUAUGUGAGUGGAAA